rnacentral:rRNA from 1 species
UUUAAAGUCGGGCCUGCCCAAUGAUUAUAAUUAUUGAAUGGCUGCAGUAUUUUGACUGUACAAAGGUAGCAUAAUCAUUAGUUUUUUAAUUGGAAACUGGUAUGAAUGGUUGGAUGAGAAAAUUUCUGUCUCAAUAUAAUUUUAUUUGAAUUUUAUUUUUAAGUAAAAAAGCUUAAAUUUUUUAAAAAGACGAGAAGACCCUUUAGAGUUUUAUAUAUAAUUUUAUAUUUUUUAUUAAGUAUUUUUGAUUUUAUAUUUUUAUAUAUUUUGUUGGGGUGACAAUAAAAUUUAUUUAACUUUUAUUAUAUAUUAUUUGAUCACUGAUUGGUGUUUAUUUGAUCCUAUUUUUUAGAUUAUAAGAAAUAAUUACCUUAGGGAUAACAGCGUAAUUUUCUUUGAGAGUUCUAAUCGAAAAGAGAGAUUGCGACCUCGAUGUUGGAUUAAAAUUUAUGUUUGGUGUAGUAGCUAAACAAUUAAGUCUGUUCGACUUUUAAAAUUUUACA